CUACGGGGGGCUGCAGUAGGGAAUAUUGCGCAAUGGACGAAAGUCUGACGCAGCGACGCCGCGUGGGUGAAGAAGGUCUUAUGAUUGUAAAGCCCUGUGAGGGGGGACGAAAAAAUUAAAAUUGACGGUACCCCCAGAGGAAGGACCGGCUAAAUAUGUGCCAGCAGCCGCGGUAAUACAUAUGGUCCGAGCGUUGUCCGGAUUGACUGGGCGUAAAGGGUGCGUAGGCGGACGCACAAGUCAGGUGUGAAAGCCCCGAGCUUAACUUGGGGACUGCGCUUGAAACUGUGUAUCUGGAGCAUGUCAGGGGUAAGCGGAAUUCCCGGAGUAGCGGUGAUAUGCGUAGAUAUCGGGAAGAACACCGGUGGUGAAGACGGCUUACUGGGGCAGAGCUGACGCUGAGGCACGAAAGCGUGGGGAGCGAACAGGAUUAGAUACCCUUGUAGUC
rnacentral:rRNA from 1 species